rnacentral:rRNA from 1 species
UGGAGUUUAAAAGUUAACAAAUUUUGGAAGUUAUUUGGUGGAAAAUUUUAAACAAGCUUUUACCCGGGAGUGUUCAGUUCCCCAUUCAAUUCCAUGUGAACUUGAAUGCAUUUUAUUCAUUGUUAUGAUUUAAAGAGUAAUCAUGCUGUAACCUUCUCAGAAGAGAAAUACGUGCUCUUUAAGGUAAAUUUCCUUUGGGUUUCAGUUUACCCCAUUUAAAGUAUCAGUAUACUAGGUAGAUCUUCGCGUAUCACCGUUGCAGUUCAAUUAUUUACCUCUGGCUAUAGGAAAUUGUUAGUGGCAGACGGGUGAGUAAUGCGUAGGAAUCUACCUAGUAGUACGGAAUAGCCAUUAGAAAUGGUGGGUAAUACUGUAUAAUCCCCGAGGGGGAAAGAUUUAUCGCUAUUAGAUGAGCCUACGUUAGAUUAGCUAGUUGGUGAGGUAAUGGCUUACCAAGGCUAUGAUCUAUAGCUGGUCUGAGAGGACGAUCAGCCACACUGGAACUGAGAUACGGUCCAGACUCCUACGGGAGGCAGCAGUGGGGAAUAUUGGACAAUGGGCGAAAGCCUGAUCCAGCUAUGCCGCGUGAGGAAGAAGGCUUCGGGUUAACCUCUU